rnacentral:lncRNA from 10 species
AAGAGGGCCAAGCUGACAGGACAGUGAUUAGUCUUCAGGGAGCAAAGGCGAAGACUCUGCCGGCGAGCCUGGGGCUGGAGAAGCUGGCCGAGGUCCCAGUCCGGUGGGCUGGAGCAAUGAUUUCAGAGGCCCGGAAUCUGAGGAGAAAUACCAUAUUAUCCCCAUUUUGCAGAUGAGGAGACAGAAGUGGAGAGAGGUGAAGUGACUUGCUCAACAUCACACAGUUGCCUUCCCACGUGUGUGAGACCAUUGCUGUGGAAAGAAGCCGGGCCUGACUUCAGGGAUCUGGUGUGAAAUGACUGGACCCAUGCGUUCUGAGUAAACAAGAGAGCCCCUUCUGGCUUCUCCGGGAGGAACCAAAUGGCUUCAGCAUUCAGCUCCAAAGCCCGAUGGAGACCAAGAGUGAUACACUGUACUCAUGGUGGAAACAAUGACAUCCUGUGAAAAUUCUUUCCAAGAACUUGAAGUGGC